rnacentral:rRNA from 1 species
UACGGAGGGUGCGAGCGUUGUCCGGAAUCAUUGGGCGUAAAGGGCGCGUAGGUGGCCCGGUCAGUUCGUGGUGAAAGCGCGGGGCUCAACCCUGCGUCGGCCAUGAAUACUGCCGCGGCUGGAGCACUGUAGAGGCAGGCGGAAUUCCGGGUGUAGCGGUGGAAUGCGUAGAGAUCCGGAAGAACACCGGUGGCGAAGGCGGCGAUCUGGACGAUGACUGACGCUGAGACGCGAAAGCGUGGGGAGCAAACAGG